rnacentral:rRNA from 1 species
AUUGAACGCUGGCGGCAUGCCUUACACAUGCAAGUCGAACGGCAGCACGGGAGCAAUCCUGGUGGCGAGUGGCGAACGGGUGAGUAAUAUAUCGGAACGUGCCCAGUCGUGGGGGAUAACGCAGCGACAGCUGUGCUAAUACCGCAUACGAUCUAUGGAUGAAAGCGGGGGAUCGCAAGACCUCGCGCGAUUGGAGCGUCCGAUAUCAGAUUAGCUAGUUGGUGAGGUAAAGGCUCACCGAGGCGACGAUCUGUAGCUGGUCUGAGAGGACGACCAGCCACACUGGAACUGAGACACGGUCCAGACUCCUACGGGAGGCAGCAGUGGGGAAUUUUGGACAAUGGGCGAAAGCCUGAUCCAGCAAUGCCGCGUGCAGGAUGAAGGCCUUCGGGUUGUAAACUGCUUUUGUACGGAACGAAACGGUGAGCUCUAAUACAGUUUGCUAAUGACGGUACCGUAAGAGUAAGCACCGGCUAACUACGUGCCAGCAGCCGCGGUAACAC